rnacentral:rRNA from 1 species
AUUGAACGCUGGCGGCAGGCCUAACACAUGCAAGUCGAACGAGUGGCGGACGGGUGAGUAAUGUCUGGGAAACUGCCUGAUGGAGGGGGAUAACUACUGGAAACGGUAGCUAAUACCGCAUACCCUCGGAUGUGCCCAGAUGGGAUUAGAUAGUAGGUGGGGUAAAGGCUCACCUCGGCGACGAUCCCUAGAUGGUCUGAGAGGAGGACCAGCCACAUUGGAACUGAGACACGGGCCAGAGCCCAAGGGGAGGCAGCAGUGGGGAAUAUUGCACAAGGGGCGCAAGCCUGAUGCAGCCAUGCCGCGUGUAUGAAGAAGGCCUUAGGGUUGUAAAGUACUUUCAGCGGGGAGGCGUUACCCGCAGAAGAAGCACCGGCUAACUCCGUGCCAGCAGCCGCGGUAAUAC